AGCUUUAUAGUCAUAUUGAUGAUAUUAGACUGCAAUUCUAAAGGAGUAUAUUUACUAAGGCUU
rnacentral:tRNA from 1 species